ACGAACGCUGGCGGCGUGCCUAAUACAUGCAAGUAGAACGCUGAAGAGAGGAGCUUGCUCUUCUUGGAUGAGUUGCGAACGGGUGAGUAACGCGUAGGUAACCUGCCUUGUAGCGGGGGAUAACUAUUGGAAACGAUAGCUAAUACCGCAUAACAAUGGAUGACACAUGUCAUUUAUUUGAAAGGGGCAAUUGCUCCACUACAAGAUGGACCUGCGUUGUAUUAGCUAGUAGGUGAGGUAACGGCUCACCUAGGCGACGAUACAUAGCCGACCUGAGAGGGUGAUCGGCCACACUGGGACUGAGACACGGCCCAGACUCCUACGGGAGGCAGCAGUAGGGAAUCUUCGGCAAUGGGGGCAACCCUGACCGAGCAACGCCGCGUGAGUGAAGAAGGUUUUCGGAUCGUAAAGCUCUGUUGUAAGUCAAGAACGAGUGUGAGAGUGGAAAAUUCACACUGUGACGGUAGCUUACCAGAAAGGGACGGCUAACUACGUGCCAGCAGCCGCGGUAAUACGUAGGUCCCGAGCGUUGUCCGGAUUUAUUGGGCGUAAAGCGAGCGCAGGCGGUUUGAUAAGUCUGAAGUUAAAGGCUGUGGCUCAACCAUAGUUCGCUUUGGAAACUGUCAAACUUGAGUGCAGAAGGGGAGAGUGGAAUUCCAUGUGUAGCGGUGAAAUGCGUAGAUAUAUGGAGGAACACCGGUGGCGAAAGCGGCUCUCUGGUCUGUAACUGACGCUGAGGCUCGAAAGCGUGGGGAGCGAACAGGAUUAGAUACCCUGGUAGUCCACGCCGUAAACGAUGAGUGCUAGGUGUUGGAUCCUUUCCGGGAUUCAGUGCCGCAGCUAACGCAUUAAGCACUCCGCCUGGGGAGUACGACCGCAAGGUUGAAACUCAAAGGAAUUGACGGGGGCCCGCACAAGCGGUGGAGCAUGUGGUUUAAUUCGAAGCAACGCGAAGAACCUUACCAGGUCUUGACAUCCCGAUGCUAUUUCUAGAGAUAGAAAGUUACUUCGGUACAUCGGUGACAGGUGGUGCAUGGUUGUCGUCAGCUCGUGUCGUGAGAUGUUGGGUUAAGUCCCGCAACGAGCGCAACCCCUAUUGUUAGUUGCCAUCAUUCAGUUGGGCACUCUAGCGAGACUGCCGGUAAUAAACCGGAGGAAGGUGGGGAUGACGUCAAAUCAUCAUGCCCCUUAUGACCUGGGCUACACACGUGCUACAAUGGUUGGUACAACGAGUUGCGAGUCGGUGACGGCAAGCUAAUCUCUUAAAGCCAAUCUCAGUUCGGAUUGUAGGCUGCAACUCGCCUACAUGAAGUCGGAAUCGCUAGUAAUCGCGGAUCAGCACGCCGCGGUGAAUACGUUCCCGGGCCUUGUACACACCGCCCGUCACACCACGAGAGUUUGUAACACCCGAAGUCGGUGAGGUAACCUUUUGGAGCCAGCCGCCUAAGGUGGGAUAGAUGAUUGGGGUG
rnacentral:rRNA from 1 species